rnacentral:rRNA from 1 species
UGGCGAACGGGUGAGUAACACGUGAGUAACCUGCCCUUGACUUUGGGAUAACUUCAGGAAACUGGGGCUAAUACCGGAUAGGAGCUCCUGCUGCAUGGUGGGGGUUGGAAAGUUUCGGCGGUUGGGGAUGGACUCGCGGCUUAUCAGCUUGUUGGUGGGGUAGUGGCUUACCAAGGCGACGACGGGUAGCCGGCCUGAGAGGGUGAUCGGCCACAUUGGGACUGAGAUACGGCCCAG